rnacentral:sRNA from 1 species
GCUGGGCAUGGUGGCAUAUGCCUGUAAUCUCAGCCACUCAGGAGGCUGAGGCAGGAGAAUUUUAAGUUUAAACCCAGCCUCAG